AUACUUACCUGGCAGGGGAGACACCUUGAUCAUGAAGGAGGUUUUCCCAGGGUGAGGCUCAUCCAUUGCACUGCGGGUGUGCUGACCCCUGCGAUUUCCCCAAAUGCGGGAAACUCGACCAUUUAAUUAAUUAAC
rnacentral:snRNA from 1 species